GCUCGAGAGAUCCAAUUAUAAAACCAGGAUAUUAUAAAGCAUUAUGCUAGCGUAGUCGCUUAAGGAUGCAAAGAAAAUGACACACAUAAUGGCGAAAGUUCGAUACGAAAACUCGGAAUACCGAUAGUAUGGUCCUCAUGGCGCCCUUAACCCCAAAUCAAAGACAUGGCGCGAACAUGUUGGUCUCACAAGUGACGUGCUUUUGGUCGCACUUAUAACCUAUUAUUGGUCUUAUGACAGAAAAAAUGGUGUUUUGAGACUGUUUUUUCUUCGUCUAACUGUAAAGAACUGUUGUAACAAAAUAACCCAACUUUGAUAAAAUAUUCGUACAUCAUACAUGUUUUAAACAUGGACAAAGUUCAUUUUAUAAAUAAAUGUAUUGAGACAAUUUCUGAUAUACUGUCUAUGCCCAAGGCUUAAAUGUCAUUUAUAUAUUACACUUAACGUUUAAUCGGCUGAACAUUUUAUGUUGAAUUUACGAAUUUCACCAUGUAUGGUGUUUCAAAGUAUAUCAAUAUUUUUACAUUAUGUAUAAGAGAGUCAGUACAUCCCAGACAGCCAGAUAUAAACGAUUCACAAUUUCUUGUCGCGGACCCGUUUAGUGUCUCGCAUAUAUCUUGUUGACUAUAAUAGUUUGUGUACUUGGGAAGCGUCGUUUUAAAUAGAAAAAUAAAUUUUAAUGAACAGUCACGAACGUCGUUAGUCCACUGAACUACGCAACGCACGUCUUUUAAGGUGCGCAUGAAUACGGUUUGAAGCAAACAACAGCAGUCACUUAUUUCGAUUACGGGCUACGGAAGAGGAUAAUUUCGAUGAAAAUAAAAAAAACUACUUUAAAACGAGUGAUAUUUCCAAUCAAGUUUCAACCACCAGUAUACAAAAGGGAGCUCCGAUGAGCAGUCAUAGCUAUCUGUGAUAAUGAAGAUUGAAGUACGGGAGUUAAGGGAGAUGCUUUGAAGAGUGAUGUUACUAAAAUGUGAAAAGGAUGAUGAAAUAGAUGAAGUAGAGAAUUUCUAAGAUGAAAAUACUACCAACAGCAGUAUUCAUGACAAGCUGACGCAGUCUGAACGGGAAACGAUUGUUCGGAUGUGAAUUGUGUGCUCUUCGCUUCAAAAUGACCUGGGAAAAUAUUUAUCAACAUUUCCUAGACCUAAGACCAAUUAAUUAUGUUCUAAAAAACAAUUACAUUUGAUUUAAUUUGGCAUUUUCCACUUCAAUUAAUUUUGUUCAUUAAAGAUAAAUGGCAUAAGUAUCAUUUGUAAACAGUUUAUUUAUAAAUGUUUUGUCUUUCCGUGGAAAAUGACCAAAUAAGUAUUAAGUGGAAUUUACUGUGCAAUUUUCAUCUGCACUAACACAGACUGCGUAAAUGUUUUGAUAAUAGCACAUUGGUUGCUAAUCACUAGUUCCUAACUACACUACAACAAAACCUAUACUAACACCAUGACUUUGUUUAAGAAUCGGCCGUACCAUCAGGAUUUUAUGUUUAUCAAAGGCAGAUUAAUUGUAAUUAUGUGUAUCUAUUAAUAAAGUCUAAGAAUAUAA